ensembl:lncRNA
CAGAAACACUGGAAACUCAUCAUUUAUUUUAAGAAACAAAUGGAGUCUCACCAUUUACCUUCUUAACAUCAAUAGAAAAAAAAAAAAAAGGUAAACAGCCUAAACAGGAGUAGAUUUGCAAAAUCACCACCGCUUUAUUUAUUUUCUUUAAUAAGCUCUUUUUAAACAAGGAAAGGGGCAAGUAAUGACCAAAAAUAUCUGUAAAGGAUGAAGAUCUGAUAGAAUAGACCGCUGGAACAGCUCUAGAAAGCGCUGGUCCAAUGAUAAAAUGAAAUAUGCAUCUCGAAAGUACAAAAAAAAUAUAUAGACAGGGCGACAUUUUGGUGCAGGUACAAUAAAGUAGCAUCUCGGACCUCAGCAGUAAGGGUUAAAAGAGGCGAAAAAACACAGCCAAAACAAACUGAAAUCUGUUCAAUCUGUGCACACAUCAGUGACCUUGUAUUUUUUUCAUUUUAAAACACCCACUUUUAACUAGUGAUACAAUAUCCCAAAAAAAAGAGCAUGUUUUAUAACCUCCCCUUACUGACAAAAAGGUUGACUUUACAGUGGAGUAUGGCAUUUACAGAUAUACCAGUGAAACAUUUGUCAUGAAGGAUAAAUCAUUUUUUUGUAGUGUCUUGGAUGACUUUUAUACUAAGCAGUAACAUUAAUAACCAGUAAUGACGUUGGCAAAGCGAGGCUCAAAAUGAGCAUCCUUUACAAAAAAAACAAUAUAAAAAUGAAUAAAUGAUGCAAACGGAUUCACAUUUUCCAAAGAGAACAGACACUUCAAAAAUUCCUUCGUAGUCCACUGGAAUCGCAGUGCUCACAAAAAGCUUUAGCCAAGAUCAUACAGAAAGUCAACAAGCAACACUAAACGUCUCUCCCUAUUAUGAUCAACUGUUAAAAAUGAAAACUAUAGGUAUAUAUAUUUUGGACCAUGGUUGUGAUUAUAGUUGGACUGCAUUUAUUGCUAGUGCCACUUGGAGCGACCAGAAGCUAAAUUAUCAAAUUUCAGUUGUUUCAAGAUGACCUGAAUUCCCACAAGAUCUGGUUUCUACUGGAAUUACAGAGCAUCCGUCUGAGGAACCCUAAAAAAGGAAAAUGCUAACCCUCAUCUUGGGACCAAAAGGAAAAUAUAAUGCAUUUAAUACACUCCUCGUAACAGAGGUUCAAACUCAUUACAACCCAAACAGAAAGGUGACAACAAAGCAAACAUUUCCAUUAUCUUUAGUUGGAAAGCCGGGUGAGGGUUGGGGUGUGCGGUCAACAUCCAUUAGAAAUGUGGGUCAAUGUGUGUAUUAACCGAUGUAAGUCGCAUUGGAUAAAAGCGUCAGCUAAAUGCCCUAAUUGUAAUUGUCAAUGUUGUACCCCACCUAAUCCCCUCCCCCACCCAGAACUACAGAGCAAGCACAGAGAUUUGAGAGUGGAUAGAAAUCCACACGCUGUCGCAUCAUGUACACCGGCUUCUCGUCAAAGUCUUUUUUUCUUUUCUUUAAAUGGUUUGCAAAGUCCCGAAUGAGAGUCCUGUUAGUUUGCAUACGUCCAGCCGGUCAUGCACACGCUGAAUCGAUGCCAGUGACGAUCCCAUGGAAGUAAUAUGAUUGCGCCGAAAUGUCCGCUAGAUUUUGCAGUUGUUUUUUUUGUGUAUUUUUUUUUUGCUUCGGUAUACAUUAAGAGCAAGCAACAAAUUAGAAAAUAAUUAUGCAAAUAUCACGUUCCCUGGAGGAAAACCAAAAAGUUUUUCUACCAAUUUUAUGCAGUUCUGUCGGUUUUUACUCGCCAAGUGACGUUGUCGAGGUUCACUUCACUUGGGCCAUGAGGACACACAUGAUCAAAAACUUCGGUUAAGAUUUAUUUUAUUUCUGAAGAACAAGUCCUUGAGUGAGACAAACAGGUGACAUGAAAGAAAGAAAAAAAAUCCAACUCCAUAAUUGCUAAAAAGGGUCAAAAGGAAAUUAAUAUGCAAGGUGUCCCUCUGCUUCGACCGUGUUGUUUCUUGAAAACAUCCGACAGACUCGGGGGUCCGGCGGAUGACGCGUGCCGGGCGAGUCUGUCCGGAGGGCAAAGUCCACUUAAAAAGACUACGGUUUGGCAAGACGGCUCGCAGAACAAAAGAAACGUGUUAAUAAUCUGUGUGGUGCCUUUCCCCCGCCACCGCCAACCCCCUUCCCGACUUUAUAGAAAGCUAACAUAAAAACAAACACAUCCUCUCCGUUCCAUUAGGCUCCUCUCCGAGAGAGCAGCGAGCGAGGACAGAAAGGAAAACACAGGACAUCAGCGUUAAUAAAUAAAAGAUUUUGGGAGGAGGUCUGCAUCGAAGAGUGUCUAUUGUGUCUGUAUACAUUUAUAUAUAUAUAUAAUCAUAUAUCUCUAUACGUUUGGUGGAGUUAUAUGUGUCCCGUGUCAAGACAGUUUUUUGUAGGGGGGGGGGGUUGGUUUCCCGUCAGCAUGUGUGGCCUCUGCAGCACCCACACCCAUCCCCUUGCCGAAGGAGGUGAGGUGGGGUGGGGGGGGGGGAGUAGCGAGUUGGGGGGGUGAUGGAGGAGCGGGCUUGGUUUACAGGGAGGGGUUUCGUCGGGCAGGACGUUGUGGGGGAGCUGGGAGGACCCCGGCUAGGCCUUUCCCUCCUCUGCCUUGGCGGCUGGUGGUUUGAUGGCCCCGGUGCGCGGUGGUGGUGGUGGCGGCGGCGGUGCUGGUUUGGCCUGGCCUGCCGAGGAGGGGGGGGAGAGGGGGUCUUGGAGCCUGCUGGUGGCCGGGGGGCAUCAUGCGCCGUGGGGCCCCCACCGACAGGUUCUGGCCCUGCUGCAGCUGGAUGGACUGGGGCAGGAUGAGGUGCUGCUGGGCCGAGCCGUAGCGCAGCUGGGAGCCCGGCAGGGGCAUGGCCACCUGG